UACGUAGGUGGCAAGCGUUGUCCGGAUUUAUUGGGUUUAAAGGGUGCGUAGGCGGCCCUGUAAGUCGGUGCUGAAAUAUCCCGGCUUAACCGGGAGGGUGGCAUUGAUACUGCGGGGCUAGAGUACAGAUGAGGUAGGCGGAAUUGACGGUGUAGCGGUGAAAUGCUUAGAUAUCGUCAAGAACACCUAUAGCGACGGCAGCUUACUAGGCUGUAACUGACGCUGAGGCACGAAAGUGUGGGGAUCAAACAGG
rnacentral:rRNA from 1 species